CGAUUUCUCUGGGAUCCCAUCAUCAGAUCCUGGUUUCCUUAUCACGGUACCAAACUAGGGAUAUCCCCUUUCCAACAAAAAAAGAAUUAUCAAAAUCGGUACAUCCAGUAGAAAGUUAUGCGGUAUAAUACAACGCAGGUCGACGAAAAAAGCGUCAAGUAAAAACGCAUUAUUAGAUAUAGCUCGAAAAGUAGUUGUUAGAUCUCAAAUAAAUUUAAAUGGGACCAAUUGGCACACACCACCUUUCGAUUAAAAGAAAAUUUGUCGAAAUCGCUCCACCCAGUCAAAAGUUCUGAUGUAAAA
rnacentral:misc_RNA from 1 species